UUAGAAUCAUCAUACCUGAAUCCACUCAUUGUGCUGCUACGGGCCUGAUGACAUAGAUUUCAUUGCUGAGUGAUAUUGCCUUUUAGAAUCAUCAUACCUGAAUCCACUCAUUGUGCUGCUACGGGCCUGAUGACAUAGAUUUCAUUGCUGAGUGAUAUUGCCUUUUAGAAUCAUCAUACCUGAAUCCACUCAUUGUGCUGCUACGGGCCUGAUGACAUAGAUUUCAUUGCUGAGUGAUAUUGCCUUUUAGAAUCAUCAUACCUGAAUCCACUCAUUAUGCUGCUACGGGCCUGAUGACAUAGAUUUCAUUGCUGAGUGAUACUGCAUUGUACUUAGAAUCAUCAUACCUGAAUCCACUCAUUAUGCUGCUACGGGCCUGAUGACAUAGAUUUCAUUGCUGAGUGAUACUGCAUUU